GAUGAACGCUGGCGGCGUGCCUAAUACAUGCAAGUCGAGCGAACAGACGAGGAGCUUGCUCCUCUGACGUUAGCGGCGGACGGGUGAGUAACACGUGGAUAACCUACAUAUAAGACUGGGAUAACUUCGGGAAAACGGAGCUAAUACCGGAUAAUAUAUUGAACCGCAUGGUUCAAUAGUGAAAGACGGUUUUGCUGUCACUUAUAGAUGGAUCCGCGCCGCAUUAGCUAGUUGGUAAGGUAACGGCUUACCAAGGCAACGAUGCGUAGCCGACCUGAGAGGGUGAUCAGCCACACGGGAACUGAGACACGGUCCAGACUCCUACGGUAGGCAGCAGUAGGGAAUCUUCCGCAAUGGGCGAAAGCCUGACGGAGCAACGCCGCGUGAGUGAUGAAGGUCUUCGGAUCGUAAAACUCUGUUAUUAGGGAAGAACAAAUGUGUAAGUAACUAUGCACGUCUUGACGGUACCUAAUCAGAAAGCCACGGCUAGCUACGUG
rnacentral:rRNA from 1 species